rnacentral:misc_RNA from 1 species
GAUGAAGAACGCAGCAAAAUGCGAUAAGUAAUGUGAAUUGCAGAAUUCAGUGAAUCAUCGAAUCUUUGAACGCACAUUGCGCCCCCUGGUAUUCCGGGGGGCAUGCCUGUCCGAGCGUCAUUGCCGCCCUCAAGCACGGCUUGUGUGUUGGGCCCCCGCCCCCCGGCUUCGGGGGGCGGGCCCGAAAGGCAGCGGCGGCACCGCGUCCGGUCCUCGAGCGUAUGGGGCUUCGUCACCCGCUCUGUAGGCCCGGCCGGCGCCCGCCGGCGACCCCAAUCAAUCUUUCCAGGUUGACCUCGGAUCAGGUAGGGAUACCCGCUGAACUUAAGCAUAUCAAUAAGCGGAGGA